CCAGACAGACCUUUGUCGGCAAAAUAAUGUCUCUGCUUUUUAAUAUGCUGUCUAGAGGAGCCUGGGGGGCUACAGUCCACAGGGUUGCAAAACAGUUGGACACAAUUUAGUGACUAGAACAAGAUAUAUCACAUUGGAUGAUAACAAUAAUUCCUGCCUCCACAGGGUUUUAAGAAUUAAAUGAAGUAAUUUAGGUAAAGAACAGUUACUGCUUGAUGUCAUAGGCACUCAACAAAUACGAACGUAUCAUGGAACCUGGAAGGCACUUUUUCUACGUGUUACAGUCUAGCAGAGGAAAGAGAAAAGUAUACAGGCCAUUUUCAUCCAGUGUAAUGUUCCAGAUGCAGGAGGUGCAGAUGACUCUGAGAAGACCCAGGGAGCACCUAAGAGUUAAACAGCUACCACGUUUUGAGCCCUACAGUCUCCUAAGGGCUUGAAUUGCAUUAUCCCAUUGAGUCCCAGGGUAAAAUUCAGCUCUGUGAGUGCCCUCGGCUGCAUUCUUUACCCUCUGUGAUGCAGGUCUCCAUUAGUGGUUUGAGGCAUCUGGCACUUCAGGAAAAGGCCCGGCACAUUCCUUGCUAGUUGAGAAUGUGCCUUCCCAUGCAGGGGAUGCAGGUUCCAUCCCUGGUGGGGAACUAGAUCCCACAUGCCACGGGGCAAUAAGCCAUCUCAAGGCAACUGGAGAGGCCGACGCCCUGCAACCUGACUGAGCCUGUUCUCUACAACAAGAGAAAUCCUACACACCACAGUGAAGACCCAAUGCAGCGAAAAAAAAAAAAAAUACAAGAGGGAGACAGUCCUUACCUCCAGCUCCUUUGUUCCAGCCACAUUUUCCUAAUCACACCCUUGUAAAUAUGUGGUCGUUGCUCAGUUGUGUCCGACUCUUUGAAAUCCCAUGAACUGUAGCCCGCCAGGCUCCUCUGUCCAUGGGAUUUCCCAGGCAAGAAUACUGGAGUGAGUUGCUAUUUCAUUCUCCAGGGGAUCUUCCCUACCCAGGGGUUGAACCCAGGUCUCCCGCAUUGCAAGCAGAUUCUUUACUGUCUUCACUCAGUUUUAAAGCAGCUGACUUUGGGGUGGGCUAAGGAGUGUACGAGUGAGUUUCCGGUGGGAUGAGAGGCAGGCAAGUACUCUGAGAGGAAGUGACUGAAACAGAUUGAGUGUAGCUAUUCUCCCACUGAGGAGCCUGUGUUCCCUACAUUCCAGAGAAUGGCCAGCCCCACCCUGGAACAGCUUUCCCAGCGUUACUCCCAGUGACGGCAGCAGCAUACCCAGGAACACAGCUCACUUCACGGCUGCCCACAGCCACACCGUUCCUUCUCGCUGGGCUUUGAGAGCACACAAGACCUAUUCAUUACAGAGUCUUGGGCCACUCGGAACUCUGAACACCUCAUUUUUAAACGGAGAACCCUGCUUUUCCAAGGCUCCUUUGCACCAAAUUACAUGAGAGAUUUUAGCCCAUAUACAGUGAUGUCAAUUACUACUUGGAUCAGGGAAUAGAUAAUAGGGUCAUUUCUUGGAAUGUGUGUGAGAGGAUCUGAGCCUUGGAUAAAGGGAAUUGAAAAGACUUUGACCUAAGACGGAGGAAGACAGAACAGCCCUAACUUAAAUGAGCAAAAAUAUAUCAGCACCAAGAGUUUUUCAUUCAACUGGUAUUUUUUUUCAUUCAACUGGUAUUUUUAUUAACCCCUGACUCUGCCAAGUGUUAGUAAUUCAACAGUGAACUAGUCGGUUUCUGCUCUCACACAGCUCACAAGUUAGUGGAAGAGACAACUACUAAAUAAUAUUAAUUACACUUGUGAUAGGGGCUUCCCUUGUGGAUUCUUUACCACCUGAGCUAUGAGACAAGCCCCCAUGUGGUAGAGGAUGUGAAACAGAGCACACACAACAUGGUGGAAGACUUGUGAUUGCCUCUACUUCCUUCCCCCUGUUUUGUCUACUAGAUUAAGUCAGCUGUGUUCCCACUGACAAAUGCAGAGACUCCAAUAAACUCAGUUUCAAUUCUUUAGACUCUCUUGACCAUUCAGGGUAACCAUAUCAGGGAGAUCCUUUUCAUAGAGAUCUGGGUUUUCUGAGGUCCCAUUAAACUAAUAUUUCCCCAGCCUGGUGUAAGAGGCAGUCUUCUUUUUAUAAUCUUAAUAUACUUCAAAGCGCCUGACUUUGCCACACUCGAUAAGCCAUUUAGUGGAAGAAUCAUUGCCGGCACUGUGCUGACUGGGGAAUGGGCUGUCCAUCCCUGGGUUUAUUCCAGAGGAAAAAUUAGAGAAAUCCUUGAUUACAUAAUUUGGUCAGCUCACUUGGGAGCAACCCCAAUUUUCCUAUCUUGCCAUAGAUUUCUUUCUAACCCAUUUCUCAUACUAUGCUUUACAUUGACUAUUUAAUAAACUUUGUAAUCCAA